CAACAAGUAGUUUAAUUGAAAAUAUUAGUUUUGGAGAUUAAUGUUAGACAUAAAUUCGUCUUUUGUUGA